CUAGCUGUAAACGAUGGAUGCUAGGCGUUGAGAGUAUCGACCCUCUCAGUGUCGUAGCUAACGCGUUAAGUAUCCCGCCUGGGGAGUACGCGCGCAAGCGUGAAACUCAAAGGAAUUGACGGGGGCCCGCACAAGCGGUGGAGUAUGUGGUUUAAUUCGAUGCAACGCGAAGAACCUUACCAGGGCUUGACAUGUCCGGAACCCUGCCCAAAGGCGGGGGUGCCUACGGGAACCGGAACACAGGUGGUGC
rnacentral:rRNA from 1 species